rnacentral:rRNA from 1 species
AUGGCAAGUCCACUCGCUUUUUGGCUCGACUGGUGGUACGGGGUUUCUCCACUGGCAGUUUCUUUUUCGGCCCUUUUUUCUUAUUGCCCGAAUCCGGAGAUCUCCAUCUCUGAGCUCUCCGAUAAUAAUUGGGACCUGGCUCUCCGACUAUCUUUGUCUCCUGAAGAGUUGAAUGACUGGCAGCAUCUCGUUGCUUGCAUUCCCGAGCUCUCGGAGGGGGAGGACUCGGUAGUUUGGCCACACUCCGCCUCCGGGCGUUUUUCUGUUAAGUCCUUAUAUGAUAAGCUCAUUUCUGGCACCCCUACUACUAAGUUCAAAUUGAUUUGGCGGGCCCGGAUCCCUCCCAAUGUUAAGAUUUUUCUGUGGCAAGCUUAUAGAGGGCGGGUACCUGCGGCUGGUCAAAUUAGUAAACGUAAUGGUCCUGGUUCAGAUCAUUGCUUGUUGUGUGGCAUGUUGGAAGACACGAAUCACAUCUUUUUUAAUUGCAUCUUGGCCAAGCUGGUCUGGUGCUGCAUCAGGUCCUGGCUUGGUGUGUCCUGGAACCCCUCCUCCUUCUCUGAACUUAGGAACCUUGCCACUAGCCUUAUUAGGGUUACCAAGCGCGUAUUUUGGGUUGGCUUUGCGGCUAUCUGUUGGGUCAUGUGGAAUACUAGAAACAAAUUCACCAUCGAGCAUAUUUUUCCUGCUAAACCUGUUGAUUGUUUAUUUAAGUCUUGUCUGUUCCUGCAGCAGUGGAGAUUAUUGACUAAGGAGGCCGACCGCGAUGCUUUCGAUUUGAUGUCUUCCAAUGUUCGGGCUUCAGCUAUCUCUCUAUCGCAGAUUCAGACAGGAGGCUAG